GUGGGGAAUCUUAGACAAUGGGGGAAACCCUGAUCUAGCCAUGCCGCGUGAGCGAUGAAGGCCUUAGGGUUGUAAAGCUCUUUCAGAUGGGAAGAUAAUGACGGUACCAUCAGAAGAAGCCCCGGCUAACUCCGUGCCAGCAGCCGCGGUAAUACGGAGGGGGCUAGCGUUGUUCGGAAUUACUGGGCGUAAAGCGCACGUAGGCGGACCAGAAAGUCAGAGGUGAAAUCCCAGGGCUCAACCUUGGAACUGCCUUUGAAACUCCUGGUCUUGAGGUCGAGAGAGGUGAGUGGAAUUCCGAGUGUAGAGGUGAAAUUCGUAGAUAUUCGGAGGAACACCAGUGGCGAAGGCGGCUCACUGGCUCGAUACUGACGCUGAGGUGCGAAAGCGUGGGGAGCAAACAGGAUUAGAUACCCGGGUAGUCC
rnacentral:rRNA from 1 species